GUGCCUUAGACGAAGCCCCUCUUUUCCCUGGACCGCAAUGGAGGCGGCGAUUCUUCCCGCCGACUCUUGGGCUCGGUGUCGGGCCAUUAGCCACCGGAGGGUCGCACCGCCAGAUACCCACGCCGAUUAUCAUGGCGGCGAUGAGGUCUGAACGCGAUGGCGGAAGCAAUCGGCUGUUUCUCUUGGGAACGGGGUUCGUCGGGCGAUACCUGUACGAUCGCCUCACAAGACAAGGCUGACAUUUCUGUGGCAUCAGUGUAAAUGAUCCUAUGAAAAGAGAGCUCAAGGAGAUGGGAUUAGAGGCCUUUAUUUUUUAUGAGGUAAGCAACAAUUAAGUUUUUUCUACCUGUAAACAAUUUUAUCAUAGUCUAUUGCGUAGUGUAUUUAAUUAAGGAAGAAGAAUGUCUGAUCGAGAUUCCAAAAUAUGAUGGCACUUUGUGCUAUUUUAUCAAUGCCAACAGAGGAAAUAAGGGCUGUAAAUUUUGUUCUUUCAUAUAGCUUUACAUAUCGUAAAUUUUGGUUGCCACAAAUGCAGGCAACCAAACAGCUUCUUAGAGUGGCCUGAAUGGAUUCAAAGAGUUAUUUACUCUUUCACCAAUAGACAUAAAAUUAAUCAAUAUCAUUGGUUCAGUCAGACCAAGAUGCGGUCCAGGCUCGGUGCUGGCUCAGGUCUGAUUCGUCAAUCAAUAUGCAGUUGGGCUUCAAUACAGACUGGAAUGGGUUUGGUUCAGACUCAGGGCUAGCUUGAGUCUGAUUUGGGUUUGGUUCACUAUAAGCAGGUUAGCCUAGACGAGCGCCUGGGAUGCCUAGCAGCCAGCCUGAGGUGCUUGCCUAGGUCACACCCAACAUGUAUUGAGGUGCUUAGGGCUUCCUUUGCUUGGCUCGAGCGCCUAUUAAUAUCACUGGCACACUAAUCUACCAUCACAUGUUAUAGAAGCUGCAAGCAAUCUAAGAAACUAUUUAUUAUUCUUGGUAAGUUUGAGAUAUGUAUGUAAUGAUAAUGCACUCAGCUAAUUUCGCCCACUACAAGUUUUGACUAUUUUCUAGUAACUAGCAGCUAUUCAAACUGAUUGAUUUUAAAUCUUUAAUUUCAUAAUUAUCUGUAGAGAAGCAUGUGCUAGCUAAUUGAUUUCAUAAUCAUGCAAAUUCUUUGAUUAUAUGAAGAGGUAGAGAAGUAUGUAUUUACAAAACUGAGUGUGUUUCUCUGCCUAAUUGAAGUUCAUGUAGUAAAGGACAUGUACCAAUGACAAUUUUAGUUUUGCUUCAUGACAACUAAUCAUUUACUGUCAGCAAAUCUAGAUGUAUUCAUUCACCUGCUAGCAGAAAAUCUUAGAUUUAUAUGUUAUAUUUCAAUAUUGGAUAUAUUUUCAAGGUGGAUUGCCUGGAUUCGAAAGUCUGAAGAACUCACUAGGGAUCUUCUAUGAUAUGGAAUCUUCUGACGGUGUUUUUUAUGAAUAAGAAGUUUAAUUUAGAUGACAGUACUCUUAAAAUUAAAGUCUUUGGUUCUUCUUAAUAUGGUUGGUAAUUAUUUCAUGAUUUCUAAUAUGAAUCAAAUUUCUCUAAGAACUAGGUUACUUGGAGGAUAAGGAAUUCAAAGUAUGGAAAGAUUUCUGUGUGAAGAAACAAAUCUUGGAAAUUAGGAUCUAGUUAUUCAAUAAAUAUCCUAUGUAUAUAAAGUAUUGAUGACGAAUGCAUAAUUUUUUUAUAUGAGAUGUGUGGAAAAAAAAAAAAACUUAAGAGUGCUUCCAAGGGAGUCUGAGUUAACUCAAGAAGACAACUAUAGUUAUUAUUUUCAUAGACAUUAGUAAGAGUGCCGAAUCACAAAGCUUAGUAUCUUUUGAUUCUCUGAAUUGUUCCUUAAUACUAGUAUUGCCUCUUUGUAGGUUUGUUUUUUGUUAUCUCAAAGUUUAUUAUUUUUUAUUAUCUGAAUUGUUUCAUAAGUAUUGCCUCUUUUUGGUUGCAUUUCCAAGUGAUCCAAUGAUUUAAGAUGACCCCAUUGAAGACUUAGAAGCUGAUGUAGGAGAUGUCGUUGCUGGGACCUUUUGGUCCUCUUUACACUGAAGAGGAUUAUCUUUUGAUUGUUAAAAUAUUAUGUCUUUAUAGUGUAAAACUUUUUUCUAUGAAGAUGAUCGUGUAGACAAAAUCACGACUAAGGAGACUCUUCUUGAGUGCAUAGCUGCUGCUGGGUGGGUGUAAAACUAUUAAACAGUCGUAUACUAGGAGUCAACCCUCAAUGUCACCCCGCUCAAGUCAACGGGCAUUGCAUUAUGGUGCAAAAAUCAAUGAACUCAUAAUAGAGACUCCUAUUAAAACAAAGAUAAAGGGGCUUCUUAUUUACUUUGAAAAUGGGAGGAAUUCCUCUCUUAAGAAGAGGAGGCCUAGAAAAUCCUCCAUUUUAAGAUGCAAAAUAGACUUCUUAUGUGAAGAUCAUUGUGCUCGAUAUGCUAAGAGAAUAAUGAUGUAGGAUUAGGUCAAAUGAACAAUAAAAUAUGCCGUGUUAGGAGAUGCUUCCCCACAAUGCGCACCAUCUUAACAUGAAGCUACUGCAAUAGUGUUAAGAGAUCACUGAGCCAAUCUUGGCAUUUGUCCCCAACACUGAUGCUAUCUUUGUGAUUCCCACUGUAAAAUUGUUAGUCAUAAAUUUUUCGAAUGCUCUUUCAGUUCUACAGUAUGGUCACUUAUUAGGUUAAGCUGGACAUUCACUUUCAACACUUGGACUCAUGGCAUGCUGGAAGGGAGUGAUCUCAACAAGCAUGGUGCUAUGACCUUGAGAGCUUUGAUCGCAUAUACCUUUUGGUUAAUCUAGAAGGCCCAAAAUGAGGGCCAACAAGAUUUGAUAAACCAGAUCAAUUUUAGAUGGUCUCAACACU